UACAGAGGGGGCAAGCGUUGUUCGGAAUUACUGGGCGUAAAGGGCGCGUAGGUGGCCUGUUAAGUCGAACGUGAAAUCCCCGGGCUCAACCCGGGAACUGCGUCCGAUACUGGCAGGCUUGAAUUCGGGAGAGGGAUGCGGAAUUCCAGGUGUAGCGGUGAAAUGCGUAGAUAUCUGGAGGAACACCUAUUGCGAAGGCAGCUCGCUGGGACGUUACUGACGCUGAGACGCGAAAGCGUGGGGAGCAAACAGG
rnacentral:rRNA from 1 species